rnacentral:rRNA from 1 species
GACGAACGCUGGCGGCGUGCUUAACACAUGCAAGUCGAACGACGAAGCCGGAGCUUGCUCUGGUGAAUUAGUUGCGAACGGGUGAGUAACACGUUAGUAACCUGCCCUUGACUCUGGGAUAACUGCUAGAAAUGGUAGCUAAUACCGGAUACGACCCUCGGAGGCAUCUCCAGGGGGUGGAAAGAAUUUCGGCCAAGGAUGGACUCGCGGCCUAUCAGCUAGUUGGUGAGGUAAUGGCUCACCAAGGCGACGACGGGUAGCCGGCCUGAGAGGGUGACCGGCCACACUGGGACUGAGACACGGCCCAGACUCCUACGGGAGGCAGCAGUGGGGAAUAUUGCACAAUGGGCGCAAGCCUGAUGCAGCAACGCCGCGUGAGGGAUGACGGCCUUCGGGUUGUAAACCUCUUUUAGUAGGGAAGAAGCGAAAGUGACGGUACCUGCAGAAAAAGCACCGGCUAACUACGUGCCAGCCGCCGCCGUAA